GAACACCUACGGGGGGCAGCAGUGGGGAAUAUUGCACAAUGGGGGAAACCCUGAUGCAGCGACGCCGCGUGAGUGAAGAAGUAUUUCGGUAUGUAAAGCUCUAUCAGCAGGGAAGAAAAUGACGGUACCUGACUAAGAAGCCCCGGCUAACUACGUGCCAGCAGCCGCGGUACUACGGAGGAUGCGAGCGUUAUCCGGAUUUAUUGGGUUUAAAGGGUGCGUAGGCGGGCUGUUAAGUCAGCGGUAAAACCCCGGGGCUCAACC
rnacentral:rRNA from 1 species